AAAAACCACAGUGUCAGAAGUCAGCAAUGGCUCAACUGGCUUCAGGGGAAGGAAAACUGUUGUUGAAGAGUGGCUGCUAAGGGAAAUGCUUGGCUUUGCAGUGUCCAGCUGUCAUGAGAUGUACCUUAUGGGUGACUUACUGAAAGAGGAGGAAGAAGGUCAGCAAGGAAGAAAAUGCAAUAAAAAAGGUUUCCAGCUACUUGCACACCUAUGUAGGUGUUCUACAGUGUUGGCCAGAAACAAGAAGCUUGCAGGGGUGGAGCAGAUGCUGAGGAGAACUUGGUUUAGAUAUUCCUUCAGAAUUUAUCAAAUAUGUAUUUUUCUAAAGAAUAUGCCAGAACAAUAGUAAUUGCCUGCUUACCUGUUACUUAUCACUAGCAGAACUGCUGAUUUUGGUUGAACGUAACUGGUGGUAGUUGGCUGGCAAAGGACUGUUAGGUUGGUGUUCAAAUAACAAACCUGCCUACCCAAUAUCAAAAGAUUAACAGGAUCAGAGCAUGUUGUGCAUUGUUAAUGCAUGAGAGAUGCUAAGC